UUCAGUCACCCUUUUUCCUCUUCAGUUGCUUCAUUAUUUUUCAAAAUGACAUCGUCUUGGCUAGUGGUUCCCAACUUCAAAACGACAUUGUUUUGAGUUUUGCAUGGUUGGGUUUAGUUGUAGAUCGGCCUUUGGACUUUUUUUUCUCGUUAGCUUUUUUUUCUGUUUUCUUUACCAAUAUAACUUGCAAUAAAAUUUUAUUAAUUAAUUAAUUUUUAACUCAACAUUU
rnacentral:lncRNA from 1 species